CGCGUAGGCGGUUUGCUAAGUCGGAUGUGAAAACUCUGGGCUCAACCCAGAGCCUGCAUCCGAAACUGGCAGGCUAGAGUUCUGGAGGGGGUAGCGGAAUUCCUGGUGUAGCGGUGAAAUGCGUAGAUAUCAGGAGGAACACCGGUGGCGAAGGCGGCUACCUGGACAGAAACUGACGCUGAGGCGCGAAAGCUAGGGAGCAAACA
rnacentral:rRNA from 1 species